UACGUAGGGUGCGAGCGUUGCCCGGAUUUAUUGGGCGUAAAGGGCGCGUAGGCGGUCACGCACGUCCGUUGUGAAAUUGCUCGGCUCAACUGGGCGGGGUCAGCGGAUACGGCGUGGCUGGAGCAAGCUAGGGGGCAAUGGAAUUCCCGGUGUAGUGGUGGAAUGCGUAGAUAUCGGGAGGAACACCAGUGGCGAAGGCGGUUGCCUGGAGCUUUGCUGACGCUGAUGCGCGAAAGCGUGGGGAGCGAUCCGG
rnacentral:rRNA from 1 species